CGGGGCUAAACCCGUAUCUGGCGGAGGCGCGGAUGGAGCACCAACCAAGCAUGCCUAAUAAUGCGUGCACACACACACACUUGUCCUAAGCCUGUAAUUCUGGGUGUAUGUUGACCUGGGUGCAAGCCCCAUUUUGGGAGUAGCAGGGCUUACUUUCCUUUGCUUUUAAAAUCAUGACUGCACGGUAUUGUAAGCGGCCUCCUUGAGCACUGCUUUCGGGAGAAAGACGGAAGUAUAUAAAUCCUUUGCAUAAAUAAAUGAAUCCGAGUUAUGGUUGCUAAUGAAAUCAGGGUGUUUCUGGGUGACAGUUGAGACCUAUUUAAGAUUGGCCUGGAGUCGCCAAGAAUCACAGCAUCAAAAUCCCAGGAGCCCUACCAGAGGGUGAUUUUACUUUGGAAGGGCAGUUGCCAACCAGAUGCUUCAGGGAUCCCCAAGUGAGGACAGUCCAUCCUCAUUGUUUGUUCCCUCCAAACGGGUUCAGAGGUGGAUGAAAUUCCAAUUGGACCGGUUGGCCAGCUACAACCCUGAUUCUGGUUCUAAACGAAUCUGGUUGGCAAGGUGAGCUGUCAAUUGGAGGCAUGUAAAAGGUGAGAGCUGCCAGGCCACCACAUGCGGCACACUGGAACUAUUGCCAGCCAGGAAAACAAAAGCUCCGGAUGGUUUUUUGACCAGCUGCCGAGUUUGGUGUGUCAAAACCAGCAUUUAAAAAAUAAAAAUA